rnacentral:rRNA from 1 species
UACGUAGGGAGCAAGCGUUGUCCGGAAUUACUGGGCGUAAAGCGUGCGUAGGUGGUCUGUUAAGUCUGAUGUGAAAGCCCUGGGCUCAACCUGGGAAUGGCAUUGGAUACUGGCAGGCUAGAGUGCGGUAGAGGAUGGCGGAAUUCCCGGUGUAGCAGUGAAAUGCGUAGAGAUCGGGAGGAACAUCUGUGGCGAAGGCGGCUAUCUGGACCAGCACUGACACUGAGGCACGAAAGCGUGGGGAGCAAACAGG